rnacentral:rRNA from 1 species
UCUGGUUGAUCCUGCCAGUAGUCAUAUGCUUGUCUCAAAGAUUAAGCCAUGCAUGUCUAAGUACAAACCUUAAUACGGUGAAACCGCGAAUGGCUCAUUAAAUCAGCUAUGGUUCCUUAGAUCGUCUCAUCCUACUCGGAUAACUGUGGAAAAUCUAGAGCUAAUACGUGCUUACAAGCCCUGACCUCACGGGAGGGGCGCAUUUAUUAGAUCAAAACCAAUCGGGGCUUGCCCCGUCUGCUUGGUGACUCUGGAUAACUUUUGUGCUGAUCGCAUGGCCUCUGCGCUGGCGACGUAUCUUUCAAGUGUCUGCCCUAUCAACUUACGAUGGUAGGUGAUAUGCCUACCAUGGUUAUAACGGGUAACGGGGAAUCAGGGUUCGAUUCCGGAGAGGGAGCCUGAGAAACGGCUACCACAUCUAAGGAAGGCAGCAGGCGCGCAAAUUACCCACUCCCGGCACGGGGAGGUAGUGACGAAAAAUAACGAUACGGGACUCUUUUGAGGCCCCGUAAUUGGAAUGAGUACACUUUAAAUCCGUUAACAAGUAUCUAUUGGAGGGCAAGUCUGGUGCCAGCAGCCGCGGUAAUUCCAGCUCCAAUAGCGUAUAUUAAUGUUGCUGCAGUUAAAAAGCUCGUAGUUGGAUCUGAGGACUCGAAUUGGUGGUGCACCAUACGGGUGUUACUGCCGAUUCGGCCUACCUAGUCGGUGCUCGCUCUUGGUGUUCUUAAUUGAAUGCCCUGAGUGCCCGGCAAGUUUACUUUGAAAAAAUUAGAGUGCUCAAAGCAGGCCAUUAGCCGGAAUACUUCAGCAUGGAAUAAUGGAAUAGGACUUCGGUUCUAUUUUGUUGGUUUUCGGAACCCGAGGUAAUGAUUAAGAGAGACAGACGGGGGCAUUCGUACUGCGGUGUUAGAGGUGAAAUUCUUGGAUCGCCGCAAGACGAACAACUGCGAAAGCAUUUGCCAAGAAUGUUUUCAUUAAUCAAGAACGAAAGUCAGAGGUUCGAAGACGAUCAGAUACCGUCCUAGUUCUGACCAUAAACGAUGCCAACUGGCGAUCCGAGAUCGUUUGCUUAUUGACCUCUCGGGCAGCCUCCGGGAAACCAAAGUUUUUAGGUUCCGGGGGAAGUAUGGUUGCAAAGCUGGAAACUGUUCAAUUGCAACUCUGCCUGUGACACCAAGUGGUCGGGUUACUUGGUCUGUUCUGGCCCGGAGUCGGUAGGGUUUCCGGCCUUGUGCUCUUUCCUUACUGUUCUCUGUAACGCCGAAGGCGGGGCUUCCACGGUGGGGAAGCGGUUGUACAAAUCCGGCAAAUCCAGCCAAAUGGGUUCCGGACUCUGUCCAACCUGCAACUGGUAACAGCCUCGGCUGGCUAACAUUUGAGCUGGGACUCGCUUGGGAGGAGCGAGGAUAAUAUAAACCUCUAUGUGACUGAGGUGAGGAAUCUGGUUCUCGUAAAAUGGCUGGAGAUCCCGAGCCUGUAAGUCAUAAAUUAGUUCCCCCGAGGGGAUCGAAUUGAAGCCAGUGCGUGCCCUUACUAGUUUAAGGGAUUGUAUACUUCCUUUGGUGUACCCACCUGGAAGUGCCCAAGGGGUCCUAUCCCUGCACU